rnacentral:rRNA from 1 species
GUACGCUUCUUUUUCCACCGGAGCUUGCUCCACCGGAAAAAGAAGAGUGGCGAACGGGUGAGUAACACGUGGGUAACCUGCCCAUCAGAAGGGGAUAACACUUGGAAACAGGUGCUAAUACCGUAUAACAAUCGAAACCGCAUGGUUUUGAUUUGAAAGGCGCUUUCGGGUGUCGCUGAUGGAUGGACCCGCGGUGCAUUAGCUAGUUGGUGAGGUAACGGCUCACCAAGGCCACGAUGCAUAGCCGACCUGAGAGGGUGAUCGGCCACAUUGGGACUGAGACACGGCCCAAACUCCUACGGGAGGCAGCAGUAGGGAAUCUUCGGCAAUGGACGAAAGUCUGACCGAGCAACGCCGCGUGAGUGAAGAAGGUUUUCGGAUCGUAAAACUCUGUUGUUAGAGAAGAACAAGGAUGAGAGUAACUGUUCAUCCCUUGACGGUAUCUAACCAGAAAGCCACGGCUAACUACGUGCCAGCAGCCGCGGUAAUACGUAGGUGGCAAGCGUUGUCCGGAUUUAUUGGGCGUAAAGCGAGCGCAGGCGGUUUCUUAAGUCUGAUGUGAAAGCCCCCGGCUCAACCGGGGAGGGUCAUUGGAAACUGGGAGACUUGAGUGCAGAAGAGGAGAGUGGAAUUCCAUGUGUAGCGGUGAAAUGCGUAGAUAUAUGGAGGAACACCAGUGGCGAAGGCGGCUCUCUGGUCUGUAACUGACGCUGAGGCUCGAAAGCGUGGGGAGCAAACAGGAUUAGAUACCCUGGUAGUCCACGCCGUAAACGAUGAGUGCUAAGUGUUGGAGGGUUUCCGCCCUUCAGUGCUGCAGCUAACGCAUUAAGCACUCCGCCUGGGGAGUACGACCGCAAGGUUGAAACUCAAAGGAAUUGACGGGGGCCCGCACAAGCGGUGGAGCAUGUGGUUUAAUUCGAAGCAACGCGAAGAACCUUACCAGGUCUUGACAUCCUUUGACCACUCUAGAGAUAGAGCUUCCCCUUCGGGGGCAAAGUGACAGGUGGUGCAUGGUUGUCGUCAGCUCGUGUCGUGAGAUGUUGGGUUAAGUCCCGCAACGAGCGCAACCCUUAUUGUUAGUUGCCAUCAUUUAGUUGGGCACUCUAGCAAGACUGCCGGUGACAAACCGGAGGAAGGUGGGGAUGACGUCAAAUCAUCAUGCCCCUUAUGACCUGGGCUACACACGUGCUACAAUGGGAAGUACAACGAGUCGCGAAGUCGCGAGGCUAAGCUAAUCUCUUAAAGCUUCUCUCAGUUCGGAUUGUAGGCUGCAACUCGCCUACAUGAAGCCGGAAUCGCUAGUAAUCGCGGAUCAGCACGCCGCGGUGAAUACGUUCCCGGGCCUUGUACACACCGCCCGUCACACCACGAGAGUUUGUAACACCCGAAGUCGGUGAGGUAACCUUUGGAG